rnacentral:tRNA from 1 species
GUGGUUGUAGCUCAACGGUAGAGCGCCUGUUUGUGGAACAGGAGGUCGGGGGUUCGACACCCCUCAGCCACC